GGAGAGUGCACAAAGGCCUAAAAGCCACAGAUGCUCGGUGCUCUCACGCACGCAAGGCUGCCCUCAAACCCUCAGUAGAGAGAAGAUAAACACUGUCGGAGCAAAGUGACUCCACAUAGUUCCCGAAGCUCCCCCUUCUUGGUCCUGGGAAGCUGUUUGCAGGAUGUUCUUCGCUCCUUUGAACACGCUGAAAAUACAGAUUCGUGAUCACCUGGUACUUGUGAAUCCACCACAUCUUCCUAGGCGCUGUGGCGCGCGCUGAUGCAUCUGAGGCAGGUUACGCUUUGCCAAGGCCUCCUCCUUAGAGACCGCCCACUCCCACUUAGGAAGAGAGAUAGAUGCCUGGCAUUAGACAGGGAGCAAACGGAGUUUAACUUGUUUUUCAUGCACGGGGGCUCAAUGGGGAAACUCCAUUUGGAAUUGUCCACAGCCCCUAGAAAUGUCUAGAAAUCCCAUCCUCUUGGAGAAGGGGAGGACAGGACACAGAAAUCUUGUUUUAAUAGGCAGACACUAAGGGACCCUUGUCACUCAGCCUCCCUUAGGGAGGACUUAGGAAAUAAGGCACUCUGACUGCUAAAUGGUAGGAGGUGUGUGGGUCUGAGCUCAAGAGCAUGAACCCCUUCCUGCGCUACGGAAACCCUGCUGGCAUUUGGACACAUCACCCUGAUUAACAUCCAACACCAUUGGUCUUAGUCAUUGCUUUGUUGAUGUUGUUUGUUUUUUUUGGGAGGGUGGGGGUCGGGGGAUGUUCAUAGAAAAUAACAGAUGCUACCAUUUUUCCAUCCAGCAUGUGCACUUUCUGUUGGAUAUUAGCUAGUACAAGUGAGCUUCCCAGUGUUCAGUCUGAAAAUUCUAAAGCCCUUUUAAGUCUGAAGAAAGGAAACAGACAAUGUGGCUUGGACCCUAGAACGAAUGGCUUUGGCUUUUCUUCUCGGUGAUACAUUCAUUAGUAAACAACAUUUGGAAGAACAGGAAAAUAUUCUGCUGACAGAAUUUGAUCACUUGGUCAAAGAAAACACAGAAAAACAAAACAAAACAAAUGUUUCAGUAGUGUCUAAAAAUUGUUCAAAGGGCCCUAAUAAAUGCGAAUUUAUUUCUUGAUAUAAUAGCAUAAAGUUAACUAUGCUGCAUAGUACUUCAGUAAUUAUUUGCUUAAAAAAAAUUUUUUUUGACCUGAAGUCUCUCUCUGUCAGCAAGACUGUUUCAUGGUGGCAAAUACAUCUGUUUGAGUCAGAUAGGUUCCAGCUUUCAUAUUUACGAAAAGUGUUUACAAGGAGGAUUUAUUAAAUGGGGUUAUCCAGAAGGAGGAGGGAGGACUUUGAAAUUUUUAAAAUUCUCAUUAUUUUUCUCAUUUCCAAAGCACUGUGAAAAAAAUUGUGAAAAUUAAUAAAUUCAAUGAAACAGAGGUAAAAGUCCAACAGCAGCUCCCUUUCCACCUGGUCGAGCGCUACAGUAACAUGAACGCUGUACAGUUCUCCCUGAAAAGGGUCCGAAUCAUAUGCACUGUUUUGAAAACCACUCCUCUGUUGGAAAUGAAAUCUUACUUUGUUUCCAAGUCAACAACAGCCAACUUUUUACCGAGUCGAUGAUUGCAAGGUGAGGACCGUGGUCCAGGUGAGUGUCGACCAUUUCCCAAAGCAUGAGCCAUGUGCAACCCUUUAUUUUAAAUAAUGUCACUAUGAAUUAGCUCUUAUUUACUCAUUUAGUUAGUUAGUUAGUUAGUUUACCUUUUCCUUGAGAUGUGUGCUUGAUUCAUGACCUGCCCGAAAGGCAGAGAGGUUAGGGGAGGGUUGCGUGUAAUAUGUUGGUUGGUUCCCUCCUGUUCUUCCUCCUCUGUCUUUUGCACAUCAAGCACUGAGAGGUCCUCAGCCCCUACAGCACUAAUGAAUGCCUCACCGCUCCUGGUCGGCCUUACUACACGUGGGAAGGGGGUUCUAGAGACCUGCUGAGAUGGUCAGAGCAUCCCCGGGAGGGGGUGAGGGAUGAAAAAGAGGUGGGAUUUCAGUCCUAGGUCCUCCAGGCAGAGAAAUAAAUCAGCAUAGCUGGUCUCUUGGAAGGAGUGGUGGGGAAAGACAGGUCAUCACCUACACACACACACACACACACACACACACACACACACACACACACACACACACACUCUCGAGGUCCCCCAUCAUUGCAUGGCCAGCACAAAGGUUUUAGGGUGGCGCUGGGUGUCAGCAGGAGCUUCCUGGUUUCACAGAGGAGUGCUUGUCUAACACUAGGCUGAGUGACACUCUUUUCCUGCAGUCUGCUGGGGCCACAGAGGAACAAAGGAAGCCAACUAUUAUAUUUUAUUUUUUAAUUUUUUUUAGUGGACAACAAUCCUGUCAGCACCAUAGAAAAGGAAAGGGGCGAAGAGGAGCCAAAGUGGGAGGGAGGUCGGAGGUCACAGAAUGCUGUUCCUGCGGCAUCUGUCUUAAAAGGGUGUCUAAAAGGUGUCUUAAGGUGGUCUCUAUGGGAAUACAGGAUAGAAGAAUGCGGGAGGACUCGUUUCGCUUGUUACAGUUUAAGCAAAUCUCUAGCCAAAUGUUAACAACUCAGCUAUUCUGGGGAUGGGGGUGAGUCAGGAAACUGGCACCCAAUCUUCCCCCUUCUCAACAUUUGGGGAAAAUAAAGGAUUAGGUAAAACUCUUUUCGUUCCUCUCAUUCUCCACCGUGAGCAGAGGUUCACAGAACCGGUGAAACCGUAUUUAACUGGAGACAAGUCAAUCCAGAAGGCAUUUGCUCACACAGCAACCUUCCCACUAGAAAGUGAACCUUCCCGCUAGAAAAAAAAAGUGCUAACUGUUUUUAUUUCAUUCUUUCUUAGUUGGACCCCUCACCUGCUGCCUGCAGUUCUUCUAAAGAAUGGCUGUGCAGAAUACGACUUAAAGUUUGAGCAAAGUGGGGUGUCUCUAAAUUCAAAGAUUCCACAGAGAGGAGGUCCUAGCCCAUAAAGAAUAAUCACAAGCUGGGAGUAGGGGGUGUGUGCCUUUCAUCCUAAUACCCAAGAGGCAGGCAUAGGUGGAUCUCUGUGAUUUUGAGUCCAGUUGGGUCGAUAUAGUGAGUUCAAGGCCAGCCAGGGCUACAUACUAAGAGACCAUUGUCUCAAAAGAUAGAAAAAGAAAAGAAAAGAAGAGAAGAGAAAAGGAAAGGAAGGGAAGGGAAGGAAAAGGAAAGGAAAGGAAAGGAAAGGAAAGGAAAGGAAAGGAAAGGAAAGGAAAGGAAAGGAAAGGAAAGGAAAGGAAGUCAUAAUUUUCUUGAACCAAAGAAGUGAUCACAUUUGCUAGUGAUGGAUUGGAAACCAUGACGAGGUGAGAGUGGGUGGGAUCUAUCACCUAAUGGAGUUAUUUCCUUGUAUGAUGUGGUUUGUAAGAAGUGUCUGCCUCUUCCUGGAAUUCAAGCCUUUUAGGAAACAGAUGUAAACAAAUUUCCAUCCUGGUAAAGGCCUUUGUGAGCCCUCCUUGUUAUUCAAGAUCCCGGGGCUCUUCCCUAUGCUCCAGUUUCAGCGUUUGGAACCACUGAGGAGUCUGUGACAGACAACGGAGGAAUGUGAAGGGAAGGUUAAUACCCUUGUGCCUGACAGACUUUCCUUAGCAGAGCUGUGGAGUGUGACAAUGGUGUUUGUGUCCAAACCAUCAAACGCCAUUAUCACACUAAAUAGCUACUGCUAGGCAAUCCGUCCACUCCACGCGUGACUUGACGUCUGUUCUCUCCGAGCAAGAAGUUCUGUCUUGUGCUAGAGUUCUCCAUUGUGUGUAAUGUAUGAAUAAAAUCUGGUCCUCUUGUGCUUAUAACUGUACAUCUGACUGACGCCUUCCCCUCGUGUGCUAUUGUGAAAUGAAUAAUGCUAUAAAGGAAAAGACCAGUAAAAUCCAACCUCUCCUA